rnacentral:antisense_RNA from 1 species
AGUGUCCAGGGAGCACAAGCCCUGGGGCCCCACAAACCUGGGUUUGUGUGCCCACUCUUCACUAGCAGCUCCAGGAUCAAGUGUGGUCAGGUCUCUGGAACUCAUUUCCAUAUCUCCACUGUGAUGUAAGGAUGUGCAUGGAUCCUAAAUGUGAGGAGCUGGCAAUCACCAGGUCCCUGGCAGGUGCUCAGAGUCUGAGCUACCAUCAAAACUGAGGGUGCAGGUGGAGGCUAACUGCUUCUCUGAAUACCCUAAGGGAGGCAGAUCUAGGCCAGGUGACCAGGGUUUACAAGUCCCAGGACAGCAGGUUGGGCUUGGUACGCGGAAGAACUGAUGAGCAGCUUCAGUCAUGCAGCAGGACAGAUCAGGACAAAGCCAUGCAGGAGUGGGGGCCACACACCUGCCUAAAACCCCCAACACUCUUUUUCCCAGCAGCAGCUUCCAAGCAACUCCUGAUGCCCUCCCACCGGCUAACCAGAAAGGAACCCACCAUUGGUCUCCUUAGUAACGACUUCCAAGGCCCCUUGCACAUCUGAAAAGCGCACAGUGUGAUUUCCAGACCCAAGCUAGACAGCGAUUCUUCACAAAGUGCAACGCCCUCAAUUAAUGAACCCUCUGAGAAUGAAGUACCUUCUAACAAAAACACUGUUCAAAAUAAAGCUGGAAAAAAACCUCACACAGCCCCUAGGA